GACGAACGCUGGCGGUAUGCUUAACACAUGCAAGUCGAACGAGACGAGAUGGAAUGAUCCUUCGGGAGAAUGAAAUCUUAGAAAGUGGCGAACGGGUGAGUAACGCGUGGGUAACCUGCCCUAUGGAAAGGAAUAGCCUCGGGAAACUGGGAGUAAUGCCUUAUAAGAUACGUUUGUCGCAUGGCAGAUGUAUUAAACGCUCCGGUGCCAUAGGAUGGACCCGCGUCCCAUUAGCUAGUUGGUGAGAUAACAGCUCACCAAGGCGACGAUGGGUAACCGGUCUGAGAGGGCGAACGGUCACACUGGAACUGAGACACGGUCCAGACUCCUACGGGAGGCAGCAGUGGGGAAUAUUGCGCAAUGGGGGCAACCCUGACGCAGCAAUACCGCGUGAGUGAAGAAGGUUUUCGGAUCGUAAAGCUCUGUUAUUGGGGAAGAAAAAAGACGGUACCCAAGGAGAAAGUCCCGGCUAACUACGUG
rnacentral:rRNA from 1 species